rnacentral:sRNA from 1 species
GCUGGGUGUGGUGGCACACACCUGUAAUCCCAGCAGCUCGGGAGGCUGAGGGAGGCUGAGACAGGAGGAUCAUGAGUUCAAAGCCAGCCUCAACAAUAGCGAGGUGCUAAAUAAUCAGUGAGACCCUGUCUCUA